AAUAGAUUACUGCUGCACUUACUCCAGUUACCAAAAAGGAUGUCUGCUAAUAAAAAUGCCACCAAAGCAAUAAAGAGUGAUUGGCUUUAAGAGGUUCCACAAGUAAUUUACAUACUUAAGUCUCUUGUGGCUGGGUGUGUCAUUAAAAAAAAAAAAAAACCAAACCAAAAACCUGAUAAGAAAGUAGGAAGCAGGUAACUUCUAGCUGUCUGAUUAGAGAAGGUUAUUUCAUUGGGAGUUUUGUGGGGGUGGGGGGGUAUGCUAAACUAGAUCUAUUUCCUUCUUUCAAAGGCAUGUUCUCCUUUAGAACCAAAUGAAUAUACCAAUUCCUAUGCAGUCGCCCCCACCGUUUUUUUUUUUUUUUGGAGACAGGGUCUCACACUGUCCCCAGGCUGGAGUGCAGUGGUGCAGUCUCAACCUCACUGCUCACUGAGUGAGACUCUGUCUCAAAAAAAAAGGCAUUCUCCUACAUAAUCACAAUACCAUAUGUCGUAUCCAAGAAAUUUAACAUUUAUACAGUUUUUUUUUUUUUUUUUUGAGACAGUGUGCUCUGUUGCCCAGGCUGGAGUGCAGUGGUGCUAUCUCACUACAACCUCCCCUCCGGGACAAGCGAUUCUCCUGCCUCAGCUUCCCAAGUAGCUGAGACUACAGGCGGGUGCCACCCCACCUGGCUAAUUUUUUUUUUGUAUUUUUAGUAGAGACGGGGUUUCACCAUGUUUGCCAAGAUGGUCUUGAUCUCCUGACCUCGUGAUCCGCCCGCCUUGGACUCCUAAAGUGCUGGGAUUACAGGCGUGAGCCACCUCGCUUGGCCCAUUUAUACAGUUUUUAAUGUGCAAUCCAUAUUCAUAUUUCUUCAGUAUACUAAUAAUGUCCUUUGUAGAUUUGUUUUUUAAUUAAAAAAUUCAAGAUCCAUUUAAAGAUCACAUGUAUAGGAGCCAAGGGAAGUGUCCCUAUUGCCCUCUGAAGGUUUGCUGAAAGCUAUCUGAUACAGCUUUGGACCUUUCACGAGGUCCAAACGAUAGGUAGAGGUUAGGAAGAAAAAGAAUCCUGCUUUAUCAUUUUUAUAUCAUUUAGAUUUCUCUUGUAGGAGAUCUAAAUAGAAACCUCUGAAAGUUUGCUGGAAAAUCAACUCACAAAAGGCAUUUUAAUUGGAGAAAAGGCAUACGAAAUUUAUUAACAUGUACACUGUACACUGGUUUUCUCUGGGGAGAACCAGAGAGAUGACCCACCUCCCAAUGGCAUUCAGAGGCUUAUGCCAUUCUGGCAAAACAGGUUAUGGGAAGGAGGAGAAAAGGAAUUCUGUUGAGGGGAUUACUGGGGAGGAUGAACGGAUCAGUGGACAGAAAUUAAUUGGUACAUUAUCUCGUGAAAGAGUCUGUUUAAGUGUGGUUACAUUCUUGAUCUUACAGGGAGGGGAAGAAAAAACAAUUGUCCCUUUUAGUGGGUCUGGAUCUCAGGCAGAUGAAGGAACUUCAGCUUCAUCCUGUGCCAGGGAGAGAGGAUGAGGGGGAGAAGGUCAGAGAGACCUUGAGGCUUCUUUAGUUCAGCAUAUCAAAACGCCAUUUUGGAGUAUGGGUUUCUGAGCCUUAACAGAUGGAAUUGUUUUGUAUCUGGGAUGUUGAAUAAAGUAGCCACAGGUUACUAUUGAGCACUUGAAAUGUGGCUAGUUAGAUGAGGAAUUGGAUUUUAAAUUUUAUUUAAUUAAAAUAGAUGGCUACUCUCUUGGAUAGCACAAAUUUAGAACAUUUAUCCCCAUCUCAGUCUGGAUUUAUCUCAUUAUUUCCUCAUGAUUAAAUUAGUUUUAAAUAUUUUUGUCAGGAAUACAUGGUGUCCUUUAUAGGAAUACAUUGUGUCUUUCCUAGUACAUCGUAUUAGGAGGCUAAUUGUGUUAAUUUGACACAUUUUUAGAAUUAUCUUGCUUUUUGAGAGUAGUGUUUUUGGAGGGACAACUGGGAGAGUAAACAAAAAUAAGGUACAUUCUCUGUUCUUAAGGACUUUAUAAUCUAGUCACAGGGAACAACUUUUAGGCAGUGCAGUAUAAGACCAAACGUGUUACAUACAGAUACUUAUUGUGGAGGAAUUUAGUGACAUUCAUGCGGUUAUUUAUUUAUCACAACACAUGUUAUAUGUUGCAGUACAGCAGUAAGACAGACACAGUUUUGAUCCUUACAGAGUUUAACACUUAGUAAAAGAGGCAGACACUAAAUUAUUUUUGAUAAGUGUCAUGAAAUAAAAAUAGAGUUUACAUAUAACAUCUUAAGUUGCCUAUUUUGUAUCAUUCUUUAAUUACAAUUUAAGUUUUGUUCAGGAGGUCACUGAUAAACACAUUAUCUUUUUUUCCCUUCCAAGAAUCGUUUGGGAUUUUAGCAUGUUUGUUAAGAUGUACUCUGCCGAAUGCGUCUGAUAGUGCAAAUUUAUUUAUUUUUUGUGUGGUACAAUGUCAUUGUGUGUAGGCAAUUUUUGUUUGUUUGUUUGUUUUUUGGGGUAAAGGUAGACUGAAAAUACUCUUAUGGUUUACUUUGAAUCUAAGUCCAUAAA
rnacentral:lncRNA from 1 species